rnacentral:rRNA from 1 species
CGGAGGGAAACCGAGUCUUAAUUGGGCGUUAAGUUGCAGGGUAUAGACCCGAAACCCGGUGAUCUAGCCAUGGGCAGGUUGAAGGUUGGGUAACACUAACUGGAGGACCGAACCGACUAAUGUUGAAAAAUUAGCGGAUGACCUGUGGCUGGGGGUGAAAGGCCAAUCAAACCGGGAGAUAGCUGGUUCUCCCCGAAAGCUAUUUAGGUAGCGCCUCGUGAAUUCAUCUCCGGGGGUAGAGCACUGUUUCGGCUAGGGGGCCAUCCCGGCUUACCAACCCGAUGCAAACUGCGAAUACCGGAGAAUGUUAUCACGGGAGACACACGGCGGGUGCUAACGUCCGUCGUGAAGAGGGAAACAACCCAGACCGCCAGCUAAGGUCCCAAAGUCAUGGUUAAGUGGGAAACGAUGUGGGAAGGCCCAGACAGCCAGGAUGUUGGCUUAGAAGCAGCCAUCAUUUAAAGAAAGCGUAAUAGCUCACUGGUCGAGUCGGCCUGCGCGGAAGAUGUAACGGGGCUAAACCAUGCACCGAAGCUGCGGCAGCGAACGUAUCACCCAAGACAACUUUACGGAGUUGACGAUUGACGGAGCGAAGCGACGUCAAAGCGUUCAUUAAAGUCGAGUUGGCUUAGGGAUACGUUCGUUGGGUAGGGGAGCGUUCUGUAAGCCUGUGAAGGUGGCCUGUGAGGGUUGCUGGAGGUAUCAGAAGUGCGAAUGCUGACAUAAGUAACGAUAAAGCGGGUGAAAAGCCCGCUCGCCGGAAGACCAAGGGUUCCUGUCCAACGUUAAUCGGGGCAGGGUGAGUCGACCCCUAAGGCGAGGCCGAAAGGCGUAGUCGAUGGGAAACGGGUUAAUAUUCCCGUACUUGGUGUUACUGCGAAGGGGGGACGGAGAAGGCUAUGUUGGCCGGGCGACGGUU